rnacentral:rRNA from 1 species
GAUGAACGCUGGCGGUAUGCUUAACACAUGCAAGUCGAACGGACUCUUCGGAGUUAGUGGCGGACGGGUGAGUAACGCGUGAGAAUCUGGCUUUGGGUUCGGGACAACCACUGGAAACGGUGGCUAAUACCGGAUGUGCCGAGAGGUAAAAGAGAAAUUGCCUGAAGAUGAGCUCGCGUCUGAUUAGCUAGUUGGUGAGGUAAAGGCUCACCAAGGCAGCGAUCAGUAGCUGGUCUGAGAGGAUGACCAGCCACACUGGGACUGAGACACGGCCCAGACUCAUACGGGAGGCAGCAGUGGGGAAUUUUCCGCAAUGGGCGAAAGCCUGACGGAGCAGUACCGCGUGAGGGAAGAAGGCUCUUGGGUUGUAAACCUCUUUUCUUAGGGAAGAACAAAAUGACGGUACCUAAGGAAUCAGCAUCGGCUAACUCCGUG